rnacentral:misc_RNA from 1 species
AGUUAAACAGUACGUGAAAUUGUUGAAAGGGAAACGAUUGAAGUCAGUCAUACCAACGGGAAAUCAACCUUUUGAGUUUGGUCUCGUGGGUUUUGAAGAGUUUUUAAAAGCCUUCGGAUUUUCGAGAUUGGGUUCUUCUGGUGUACUUUCUCGUACGGUUAGUCAACAUCGGUUUUGAAUGUCAUAAAAUGACUGGAGGAAUGUGGCUUCGAUCUCGUAUUGAAGUGUUAUAGCCUUUGGUAGAUGUGAUGUUCGAGACCGAGGAUUGCAACGGAUACCCUUCUGGGCUAUUCGUCUGAUCUCUGAAACGUUGCCUUGAUGUCGAAAGCUUGCUUAUGAUGUUAGGGUAUUACGGUCAAAAGGUUAGAACGGAUUAAAUUCGUUAAGGAUGUUGACGUAAUGACUUUAAA